UCAUCAUUCAAAGGGCCAUAGAAAGCAC
rnacentral:sRNA from 1 species